UACAGAGGUCCCGAGCGUUGUUCGGAUUCAUUGGGCGUAAAGGGUGCGUAGGCGGCGGGGCCAGUCUGAUGUGAAAUCCCGGGGCUCAACCCCGGAACUGCAUUGGAUACUGCCUUGCUAGAGUACUGGAGAGGGAACUGGAAUUUACGGUGUAGCAGUGAAAUGCGUAGAUAUCGUAAGGAAGACCAGUGGCGAAGGCGAGUCUCUGGACAGUUACCGACGCUGAGGCACGAAGGUCAGGGGAGCAAACGGG
rnacentral:rRNA from 1 species